AUUGCCAAGGUUGGGAAAAAGCACCAAUGCUUUCAAUCUCCAAUGAAUAUAUCAUUCAAGAUUAUUUUUUCUCACUCUUGUUCAUUUGUCUGGACUAUUUGUGGAGCUGUGGACUCUUCAUUAACUGGACUGAGAUCAUCACUGGAGGUCCACAGGUUUUAAAUGCAGGAUUCUCCUGCCACCUGCUGGUAAGCACUUCCAAGCUCUUCUUAAGAUUCUUUCACAAGAUUCAUUCAAAGACUGUGGACUCUUAUCGAAGCUUAUGUACCGGAUUUUAUUGUUAAAACAGAUAAAAGUAGGAAUAUACAAAAUGUUCACAGCCCUAAAUAUUUCAUUUACCUGUAUUGUAUUGUAUAUUAUUUAUAGGCAGUCUGUUAGUCAGCUAAAAGACUACUAAUUUAGAGUGAGUGGGCGGGGCUCAAACUCUGUAGUCUGAAUAAACAUAUGAAACAUCCUGUGAUUUUGGAUCA
rnacentral:lncRNA from 1 species